rnacentral:lncRNA from 1 species
CUUCAAAAGAGAGUUCUAUAUGCAGUCUAUAUUAAAGCCCUGUAAACACAGUUUUAGUUUUGGACAAAAACUACCGUGUCGUCAUCAACGUUUUUUCAUGAUUACACUGGCCUAAAAUAGAAUUUAAGAUUUGAAUUAUAAGAAAUAACUUUAAUAUUUUGUCUGUCUAUUCUAAAUGAUAUCAAAAAUGUGUGGCACACUUUAAAAUAAAAAGCUACGCGGGGAAUUCAAGGUGCAUUUGAUGUUUUUUCUUCAUAACCAGAAAAAUAUUACAGUCAUUCCAAAUAGAAAUAAAGCGGUUUCAAAAACAAUAUAUUUUCCAAAAUCUACAUAUUUGAAAAACCUAAAUAAUGAGUAUGCGAGCUAAAAGUGAAACAAACGUUCUUUUAAACCUAUUUGAUUUUCUGGCUUUUGGUUCUGUAGAAAAUAAAGUCCAUACAAGAACGUCAAUUACACACAUAUAUAUACAAAUAUUUACACUUUUCUGAUUUAAUCAUCAUCAGUAAUUGUAAUUUAGCAAAGGGAAAGCCC